CAGCAGCCGCGGGAAUACGGAUGAUCCAAGCGUUAUCCGGAAUCAUUGGGUUUAAAGGGUCCGUAGGCGGUCUUGUAAGUCAGUGGUGAAAGCCCAUCGCUCAACGGUGGAACGGCCAUUGAUACUGCAGGACUUGAAUUAUUGGGAAGUAACUAGAAUAUGUAGUGUAGCGGUGAAAUGCUUAGAGAUUACAUGGAAUACCAAUUGCGAAGGCAGGUUACUACCAAUUGAUUGACGCUGAUGGACGAAAGCGUGGGUAGCGAACAGGAUUAGAUACCCCCGUAGUCCCUGUCUCUUAUAC
rnacentral:rRNA from 1 species